UUGCCUGGCCCUUAUUUCUCUUCUGCCUCGGAAUCAAUACCUGGUAUCAAUUCUAAGACAGAAGGAAGGAAGGAAGGAAGGAAGGAAGUAAGGAAGGAGGAAGUGAGGAAGGAGGAAGGGAGGAAGGGAGGAAGGGAGAAGGGAGAGAGGAAGAAGGGAGGAAGGAAGGGAGGAAGGGAGGGAGGAAGGAAGUUCAGUUCUAUGCUAAACUCUGAGUUUGAUAAUAGUGGUAUGGAGAUGAUGAAAAGGAAAACAGCAUUGGGUUCAUGCCCUUGGGCAUCUUCUAGUUUAGGGAGGAAGAUUACUAAAGACUCCUUUGGUAGGAUGGUAUAGACAAAAACGGAGGUGAAGUGAGGUGUCCUUAGUAUUUUAAUUCUUUUGAGGGAGAGACAACAAAGACAGAUACCUACUGAGAUAAGGAGAGGGAGGAGGGAAGAGUGAGAAAGACAAAGAGACAGAGAAAAGGAGGGGGAAAAGGGAGUAUGAUGAAGAGAAAGAGGGAGAGGGAAUGGUAGAGGAAGAUGAAUACAGAGAAGCAAAGGGAGAAAGAAUGAGGAAGGUGAAGAGAGACAGAGAUGGAGAAAAGGGGAGGGAGGGAGAAAGAACAAAUAAGAGACAGAAAGACAGCUGAAUAAUUUCUCAGAGAGAGGGUACUAACAUUCUUAUAGUUCUCACUCAAUCAUUUGUGACUCUUCAUGAUCCUAUUUGGAGUUUUCUGGGCAAAGAUACUGACAUGAUUGGCCAUAUCCUGAGGCAAACAGGGUUAAGAGAUUUGCACUAGGAUAGAAGAGUAACUGUCUGAGGCGGGAUUUGAACUCAGGAAGAUGAGUUUUCCUGAUUCCUGGUUCAGUGCUCUUUCCACUGAGCCACCUAGCUACACUACUAAGGUUCUCAGCAAAAUCUUAGUUCCCUGUAUUAGGAAAAAGUAAGUUCAAAUCAUGCUUCAGAAACAUUUUGGUUGUGUCACCCAGAUCAUCACCUAAUCUCUCAACCUCAAUUUCUUUGUUGUAAAGUAGGAAUAAAAAGACUGUCAUAAUUUAUCUCA
rnacentral:lncRNA from 1 species